rnacentral:rRNA from 1 species
UACGUAGGGGGCAAGCGUUGUCCGGAAUUAUUGGGCGUAAAGAGCUCGUAGGCGGUCUGUCGCGUCGGAUGUGAAAACCCAGGGCUCAACCCUGGGCCUGCAUUCGAUACGGGCAGACUAGAGUUCGGUAGGGGAGAUCGGAAUUCCUGGUGUAGCGGUGAAAUGCGCAGAUAUCAGGAGGAACACCGGUGGCGAAGGCGGAUCUCUGGGCCAUUACUGACGCUGAUGCGCGAAAGCCAGGGAGCAAACGGG